rnacentral:lncRNA from 1 species
GACCUGAGCUGAAGGCAGCGGCUUAACCCACUGAGCCACGCAGGCGCCCCUAAAAGUUGCUUUUUAAAAGAAAGAAUAAGUUACCCUGAAUUUCCUAAAACUCACUAGACAUAAGUAAACUGGCACUACAGCUGGUUGGAAUCCGGGAUCUGUUCUUUGCCUCUGUAAGUGCUUCAGUCUUUAAAUAUCAGAUUAAUUAAUACAUUUAGCUUUUUAUUGGGCACUAAUUCUUUGUCUUUAGGUGUAAAUUUUUCAGAAGAUUGUAUGCUCAGUGGAGAAUAACAAGGAAAGAUAAAACUAACAAGGGCCAGAAAAAGACACUACUUUCCUCUCAUGAUCAGGAAAGUCAGAAGUGCUCUUUUCAUGGAGAAGAGUGGUUGCCGGAGUUCCAGCAGCAUCACUUAUGCUCAGAUUCCAGCCAUCAGCAAGAAGGAAGGGAAAAAGGAGGAGUGUCCCCUGGGGUUGUUACCUGUCAGAGAGGCUGAAGAAAGAGGUGUUUAUUGCUGGUAAGCCGUCCAUGCACUGCACAAAUUAGGGGUUACUUAUUGAGGAAGAAUGGAUACUGGGGGACAGCAGGGGUCCCUGCCUGUCUCAUUCACGUUACUAGCUCCUGGUGGUACACACUGUUAAGUAGGUGGUGCUGAACAGUUCUUCUCUGAGUCUAUAGAUAAUGCAGAAAUAGUUCUGAGGCAGUGGUGAUUUUCUCUGUUCUAUUGAGGUUUACUCCAAAUGAGACUGAUUUAAAGUCUUGCAGGAGAGCUCAUAAGACCUUGAACAAAAUGAGCAAGGCAUUAGCUUAAUAUCCUGGUG